rnacentral:rRNA from 1 species
UCAGCUCGUGUCGUGAGAUGUCGGUUAAGUCCCGCAACGAGCGCAACCCUCGACCUUAGUUGCCAGCAUUCAGUUGGGCACUCUAAGGUGACUGCCGGCUAAAAGUCGGAGGAAGGUGGGGAUGACGUCAAAUCAUCAUGCCCCUUAUGACCUGGGCUACACACGUGCUACAAUGGGCGGUACAAAGGGUCGCGAACCCGCGAGGGGGAGCCAAUCCCAAAAAGCCGCUCUCAGUUCGGAUUGCAGGCUGCAACUCGCCUGCAUGAAGCCGGAAUCGCUAGUAAUCGCGGAUCAGCAUGCCGCGGUGAAUACGUUCCCGGGCCUU